GCACCUGCCCCGUUCGCGGGGCCGGGGAAACCGUUCGAGCAGCGUCGUGUCGCGGUCCGGAACUGUCCUCAGUCCCGGGUCGUCUCGGCACGGUUCCAAGCGGUCGCUCCCUCGCGAGGUGCCGCGGGUCAUCGGCUGACGCCAGCCACCUUCCCGACCCGUCUUGAAACACGGACCAAGGAGUCUAACAUGUGCGCGAGCCGCGGGGCAGUACGAAACCCGUAAGGCGAAAUGAAGGUGAACGCCGGCGCGGUCCGGCGGAGGUUGGAUCCCGUCCCGUCGGGGCGGGCGCACUACCGGCCGAUCUUCUCCGCCCUGUCGGCGAGGUCGAGCGAGAGCGUGCAAGUCGGGACCCGAAAGAUGGUGAACUAUGCCUGAGGAGGUUGAAGCCAGAGGAAACUCUGGUGGAGGACCGUAGCGAUUAAAACAAACAAAUCGAUCGUCAAAUUUGGGUAUAGGGGCGAAAGACUAAUCGAACCGUCUAGUAGCUGGUUCCCUUCGAAGUUUCCCUCAGGAUAGCUGGCGCUCUGUCGCAGUUUUAUCUGGUAAAGCGAAUGAUUAGAGGUCUUGGGGGCGAAACGCCCUCAACCUAUUCUCAAACUUUAAAUUGGUAAGAAGCCCGACUCGCUCGUUUGGAGCCGGGCAUGGAAUGCGAGUGCCAAGUGGGCCACUCUUGGUAAGCAGGACUGGCGAUGCGGGAUGAACCGAACGCCGGGUUAAGGCGCCCGACGCGACGCUCAUCAGAGCCCACAAAAGGUGUUGGUUGAUAUAGACAGCAGGACGGUGGCCAUGGAAGUCGGAAACCGCUAAGGAGUGUGUAACAACUCACCUGCCGAAUCAAUCAGCCCUGAAAAUGGAUGGCGCUGGAGCGUCGGGCCUAUACCCGGCCGUCGCGGCGGUACGAGCAUCGAGUUGGUGCGCUAGGCCGCGACGAGUAGGAGGGCCGCGGCGGCGGGCGUAGAAGCCUAGGGCGCGAGCCCGGGUGGAGCAGCCGUCGGUGCAGAUCUUGGUGGUAGUAGCAAAUAUUCAAAUGAGAACUUUGAAGGCCGAAGUGGA
rnacentral:ncRNA from 1 species